rnacentral:rRNA from 1 species
GGUUAAGCGACUAAGCGUACACGGUGGAUGCCCUGGCAGUCAGAGGCGAUGAAGGACGUGCUAAUCUGCGAUAAGCGUCGGUAAGGUGAUAUGAACCGUUAUAACCGGCGAUUUCCGAAUGGGGAAACCCAGUGUGUUUCGACACACUAUCAUUAACUGAAUCCAUAGGUUAAUGAGGCGAACCGGGGGAACUGAAACAUCUAAGUACCCCGAGGAAAAGAAAUCAACCGAGAUUCCCCCAGUAGCGGCGAGCGAACGGGGAGGAGCCCAGAGCCUGAAUCAGUGUGUGUGUUAGUGGAAGCGUCUGGAAAGGCGCGCGAUACAGGGUGACAGCCCCGUACACAAAAAUGCACAUGCUGUGAGCUCGAUGAGUAGGGCGGGACACGUGGUAUCCUGUCUGAAUAUGGGGGACCAUCCUCCAAGGCUAAAUACUCCUGACUGACCGAUAGUGAACCAGUACCGUGAGGGAAAGGCGAAAAGAACCCCGGCGAGGGGAGUGAAAAAGAACCUGAAACCGUGUACGUACAAGCAGUGGGAGCCUCUUAAUGGGGUGACUGCGUACCUUUUGUAUAAUGGGUCAGCGACUUAUAUUCUGUAGCAAGGUUAACCGAAUAGGGGAGCCGAAGGGAAACCGAGUCUUAACUGGGCGUUAAGUUGCAGGGUAUAGACCCGAAACCCGGUGAUCUAGCCAUGGGCAGGUUGAAGGUUGGGUAACACUAACUGGAGGACCGAACCGACUAAUGUUGAAAAAUUAGCGGAUGACUUGUGGCUGGGGGUGAAAGGCCAAUCAAACCGGGAGAUAGCUGGUUCUCCCCGAAAGCUAUUUAGGUAGCGCCUCGUGAAUUCAUCUCCGGGGGUAGAGCACUGUUUCGGCAAGGGGGUCAUCCCGACUUACCAACCCGAUGCAAACUGCGAAUACCGGAGAAUGUUAUCACGGGAGACACACGGCGGGUGCUAACGUCCGUCGUGAAGAGGGAAACAACCCAGACCGCCAGCUAAGGUCCCAAAGUCAUGGUUAAGUGGGAAACGAUGUGGGAAGGCCCAGACAGCCAGGAUGUUGGCUUAGAAGCAGCCAUCAUUUAAAGAAAGCGUAAUAGCUCACUGGUCGAGUCGGCCUGCGCGGAAGAUGUAACGGGGCUAAACCAUGCACCGAAGCUGCGGCAGCGACACUAUGUGUUGUUGGGUAGGGGAGCGUUCUGUAAGCCUGUGAAGGUGGCCUGUGAGGGUUGCUGGAGGUAUCAGAAGUGCGAAUGCUGACAUAAGUAACGAUAAAGCGGGUGAAAAGCCCGCUCGCCGGAAGACCAAGGGUUCCUGUCCAACGUUAAUCGGGGCAGGGUGAGUCGACCCCUAAGGCGAGGCCGAAAGGCGUAGUCGAUGGGAAACAGGUUAAUAUUCCUGUACUUGGUGUUACUGCGAAGGGGGGACGGAGAAGGCUAUGUUGGCCGGGCGACGGUUGUCCCGGUUUAAGCGUGUAGGCUGGUUUUCCAGGCAAAUCCGGAAAACCAAGGCUGAGGCGUGAUGACGAGGCACUACGGUGCUGAAGUGACAAAUGCCCUGCUUCCAGGAAAAGCCUCUAAGCAUCAGGUAACAUCAAAUCGUACCCCAAACCGACACAGGUGGUCAGGUAGAGAAUACCAAGGCGCUUGAGAGAACUCGGGUGAAGGAACUAGGCAAAAUGGUGCCGUAACUUCGGGAGAAGGCACGCUGAUAUGUAGGUGAAGCGACUUGCUCGUGGAGCUGAAAUCAGUCGAAGAUACCAGCUGGCUGCAACUGUUUAUUAAAAACACAGCACUGUGCAAACACGAAAGUGGACGUAUACGGUGUGACGCCUGCCCGGUGCCGGAAGGUUAAUUGAUGGGGUUAGCGGUAACGCGAAGCUCUUGAUCGAAGCCCCGGUAAACGGCGGCCGUAACUAUAACGGUCCUAAGGUAGCGAAAUUCCUUGUCGGGUAAGUUCCGACCUGCACGAAUGGCGUAAUGAUGGCCAGGCUGUCUCCACCCGAGACUCAGUGAAAUUGAACUCGCUGUGAAGAUGCAGUGUACCCGCGGCAAGACGGAAAGACCCCGUGAACCUUUACUAUAGCUUGACACUGAACAUUGAGCCUUGAUGUGUAGGAUAGGUGGGAGGCUUUGAAGUGUGGACGCCAGUCUGCAUGGAGCCGACCUUGAAAUACCACCCUUUAAUGUUUGAUGUUCUAACGUUGGCCCCUAAUCGGGGUUGCGGACAGUGUCUGGUGGGUAGUUUGACUGGGGCGGUCUCCUCCUAAAGAGUAACGGAGGAGCACGAAGGUUGGCUAAUCCUGGUCGGACAUCAGGAGGUUAGUGCAAUGGCAUAAGCCAGCUUGACUGCGAGCGUGACGGCGCGAGCAGGUGCGAAAGCAGGUCAUAGUGAUCCGGUGGUUCUGAAUGGAAGGGCCAUCGCUCAACGGAUAAAAGGUACUCCGGGGAUAACAGGCUGAUACCGCCCAAGAGUUCAUAUCGACGGCGGUGUUUGGCACCUCGAUGUCGGCUCAUCACAUCCUGGGGCUGAAGUAGGUCCCAAGGGUAUGGCUGUUCGCCAUUUAAAGUGGUACGCGAGCUGGGUUUAGAACGUCGUGAGACAGUUCGGUCCCUAUCUGCCGUGGGCGCUGGAGAACUGAGGGGGCUGCUCCUAGUACGAGAGGACCGGAGUGGACGUAUCACUGGUGUUCGGGUUGUCAUGCCAAUGGCACUGCCCGGUAGCUAAAUGCGGAAGAGAUAAGUGCUGAAAGCAUCUAAGCACGAAACUUGCCCCGAGAUGAGUUCUCCCUGAGACUUAGAGUCUCCUGAAGGAACGUUGAAGACGACGACGUUGAUAGGCCGGGUGUGUAAGCGCAGCGAUGCGUUGAGCUAACCGGUACUAAUGAACCGUGAGGCUUAACCUU